UACGACUCUCGGCAACGGAUAUCUUGGCUCUCGCAUCGAUGAAGAACGUAGCGAAAUGCGAUACUUGGUGUGAAUUGCAGAAUCCCGUGAACCAUCGAGUCUUUGAACGCAAGUUGCGCCCGAGGCUAUCCGGCCGAGGGCAC
rnacentral:rRNA from 1 species